UACGUAGGGUGCGAGCGUUAAUCGGAAUUACUGGGCGUAAAGCGUGCGCAGGCGGUUUGUUAAGUCCGUUGUGAAAGCCCCGAGCUCAACUUGGGAAUUGCAGUGGAUACUGGCAGGCUGGAGUACGGUAGAGGAAGGUGGAAUUCCCGGUGUAGCAGUGAAAUGCGUAGAUAUUGGGAAGAACACCGGUGGCGAAGGCGGCUCACUGGCUCAUUACUGACGCUCAGGCGCGAUAGCGUGGGGAUCAAACAGG
rnacentral:rRNA from 1 species